UACGUAGGAUGCAAGCGUUGUCCGGAAUUAUUGGGCGUAAAGAGCGAGCAGGCGGUUUGGAAAGUUGGACGUGAAAUUUUAGGGCUUAACCCUAAAGGGUCGUCCAAAACUCCCAGACUAGAGUGCAGGAGAGGAAAGCGGAAUUCCCGGUGUAGUGGUGAAAUGCGCAGAUAUCAGGAGGAACACCAGUGGCGAAGGCGGUGCUCUGGGCCGGAACUGACGCUGAGGAGCGAAAGCGUGGGGAGCAAACAGG
rnacentral:rRNA from 1 species